UGAAGAUUUUCUAUGUAUUCUUUGAACUGGAUCCAAAUUCAUUACAGAUACACUGUGAAGUGGACAUAGACGAUGAAACUGGUGGGUGGGGGCGGGUGUGUGGAGGAAAAAAAGAAAAGCUACCACAAGUAGCCAGGGCUAGUUUGAAAAGUUGAAAGGUGAUCUUUGACCUUCUCAUGACUCAUAAAGCACUUUAUGACUCCUACCCCUUAGUCAAGAAUUUUCAAGCUCAACAAAAGAGCUUUUAGCUGAAUUGCCAUUUGUUAACCUAGCUUCACAAGGACUACUUAUUUCAGUUUCUAUGUUGACCAAGUGAAGUUCUUUACUUUUGACUACCUCAUAGUUUACCAUCUUGAUUGAUUUCGUGUCGAUUUUCUAGGCCAUAUUAUUUUUCCAGCCAUAGAAUUGGAUGGACUUUGGCAGGGGCUGUGUGGUAGAUUAAAGAUGGCCACAAAUUCAACAUUCCUUCAGUUGGAGGUAGAGUCUUUGUCCCCCCAGCCUUGAAUCUGGACAUGCUCUAUGACUGUUUGACCAAUGGAAUUAAUUGGAAGUGACAUUGUGCCAGUUUUUGUGGUUCACUCUUCACCCUUCUACGUCCUCCUUUGUGCCCCGGGAGGCUGUUCCAUAUGGACUUUUGGCUGUCUUGUUCUCCAGCUCCCAGUGGGGUUCGGCCAAUGUGAAAUACCAGCAGGAGUUCAUAAAAGAGGAGGAGAGAGUUAUGGUAUUUAUUUGCUGGCUGUCUCCCUUCCUUUUCUCCCUUCCUGUCUCCCUUGCUUUGGUUUGUCUAGAUCUUCAUACCAGGAGCUACAAUUGCUUUUAGGCAGACCUCUGUAGCUGCCUGCUUUUGUUCUGGUAUAUCCUCCCCUCCUUGUUUUCUUGGGCCUCUGGUGGUAGCAGCAGUUCUCAAUUGCUGCUAGCCCUUACUUCACUGCCCUUGUUUCCUGAAACCCUGGACGUGCCUUUCUGAAGAGUCACUAAUUUGUUUCAUGAAUUGCUCAAUAUGAGUGGACCAUCCACGUCCUAUAAGACUGACUGGUACACCUAGUUUGCAGAGUAGAUCAAGAACUUUUUGUAAUGUUUAUAGUCUGAUAAUUUUGUGUCUUUCUUCCAAGAUGCUGUCUGCACUGCUUCUGUGAGCUGUCAAAUGGGUAGACCAAGCCCAAUGAUAACACCAGAAAACAUUAUUCCAAGCCCCCCACCACUGUACCUCAGAUGGAGUGUUUGAAUGCCACUCACCAAGUCCAUAGAGACAAAUCUAAUCAAUCAGAUCAGGAAAACUCUAACAUUAGAACUUCAGUAGCUGGGUGUCCCUCAGGCUUAUUAGCAGAGGAUGAAACAUUUAUAAGGCAAAUGUGGCAGCAAAUGUAGAGAAGCAAUCCUGGUAGUCCAAUCCCACCACAGGAUAAGAAGGCAGCAGUUCAAUUAAAUAACAGGCAGUUAGAUUAGUUAUC